rnacentral:rRNA from 1 species
AUGCGCCGGCACCCCGCUCACCCCAUCCUCCAGCCGCGACCCCUCCCCCGCCGCGGAAACCCUAGCGCAGGGAGUGUUGGCCUCGCCACCGCCGGAGCUCCUCCGAGCAUCGGCUUCGUGCGCGGCCUCUUCAUGCCUCCGCGGAUGACCACAGCGGAGGGUGGCGUCGCGCUGGCGCCGUCCCGUGCCGCUGCCGCCCCCUCAAAGCUCACCAAUGCGGCGCGGCCGAAGAAGGGCAAGACAUCCGCGAAGAAGAACAAGGCGGCGGACGGCUCCGGCACCUUGAAGGCGAGGAGAAAGAAGCUUGCAGGGCGUGUGACGGGUGCGGCAGCUACCGAAGCACCGGCGAGCUCACUCGUUGAGCCGGCCGCCGACGCGCACAACAUGUUCGACGGUAUGCCCCAAAGUGUCAAUGAUGAUGCAUACAUGUCAACUAUGGGUGUUGGCUCCAACAAUUCGCAUUGGUCUCAAACCAAUGACAUGCAUUUUGAAGACCAUGAGUUCGAGGUGGGCAAGGAUGGUGAGGGCAUUGUCGAUGCACCGAAAGGAAGAGCGGGCAAUUACACCAACGUCAAUGACAUCUUACUAUGCAAUACUUGGUUGCAAGUGUCGAGGGAUCCAUCCGUUGGAGGUGAUCAAAGUAGAGAUGCUUAUUGGGGGCGGAUGAAAGAACACUUUGAUGUUCGCAACAUGAGUGGAAUUGACCGCUCCGAGAGAUCACUUCGGUCCCGGUGGUCGACAAUCAACUUGGAUUGUCAAAGGUGGGCGGCCUGUCAAAAGGCGGUUGACAAGUUGAACCCAAGUGGCACAAAUGAGGACGAUAGAAGGAAAACCAAGAAGGGGAAGAUCAAGAAAGGAAGGAUCUUUACCUUGCCUCAUUGCUAUGAAGUGUUGAAGGAUGAUGAGAAAUGGAAGAAGCGUGAAGAUUUGGAUGAUUUGCAUUUGAGCAACAAACGCAAGUGA